AAUAAGGCAGCUUCUUCGAACAAUGAUAAUGAUGCACAAAUUAAGAGUGAUAUGCAAGUCACAGAGGCUCUGCGCCUGCAAAUGGAAGUUCAAAAGAUGCUGCAUGAGCAACUAAAGGCACAAAGAGAGUUGCAGCUACGUGUAGAGAAGAAUGGAGAGUUGUUGAGAAAGUUAAUGGAAGAACAACCAUCAUUCUUCAAAUCACUGUCAAAAUCUGAUCAGGAGCAGUCUCCUUCCUCAUCUGCUAUUAUGUCCUCACCACGGCCAUCAACUCAUACAGCCACCAAAUCUGAGUCAAAAUGUCAUAAACGGCUCCGAGGAGAAAGUAAUUCAAGAGCAGCAUCCAGUGAAAGUAUCCAGUUGAUAAAUAUUGAAUGAGUAGUUUGUU
rnacentral:misc_RNA from 1 species